CUUGCAUCAUGAUUUACAUUUGAGUGAGUGGCGAACUGGUGAGUAACACGUGGGAAACCUGCCCAGAAGCGGGGGAUAACACCUGGAAACAGAUGCUAAUACCGCAUAACAACUUGGACCGCAUGGUCCGAGUUUGAAAGAUGGCUUCGGCUAUCACUUUUGGAUGGUCCCGCGGCGUAUUAGCUAGAUGGUGGGGUAACGGCUCACCAUGGCAAUGAUACGUAGCCGACCUGAGAGGGUAAUCGGCCAC
rnacentral:rRNA from 1 species